UGGGGAAUCUUAGACAAUGGGCGCAAGCCUGAUCUAGCCAUGCCGCGUGGAUGAAGAAGGCCUUAGGGUCGUAAAGUCCUUUCGCUGGGGAAGAUAAUGACGGUACCCAGUAAAGAAACCCCGGCUAACUCCGUGCCAGCAGCCGCGGUAAUACGGAGGGGGUUAGCGUUGUUCGGAAUUACUGGGCGUAAAGCGCGCGUAGGCGGAUCGGAAAGUCGGGGGUGAAAUCCCGGGGCUCAACCCCGGAAUUGCCUUCGAAACUCCCGGUCUUGAGUUCGAGAGAGGUGAGUGGAAUUCCGAGUGUAGAGGUGAAAUUCGUAGAUAUUCGGAGGAACACCAGUGGCGAAGGCGGCUCACUGGCUCGAUACUGACGCUGAGGUGCGAAAGCGUGGGGAGCAAACAGG
rnacentral:rRNA from 1 species